GAUGAACGCUGGCGGCGUGCCUAAUACAUGCAAGUCGAGCGAACGGACGAGAAGAUUGCUUCUCUGAUGUUAGCGGCGGACGGGUGAGUAACACGUGGAUAACCUACCUAUAAGACUGGGAUAACUUCGGGAAACCGGAGCUAAUACCGGAUAAUAUUUUGAACCGCAUGGUUCAAAAGUGAAAGACGGUCUUGCUGUCACUUAUAGAUGGAUCCGCGCUGCAUUAGCUAGUUGGUAAGGUAACGGCUUACCAAGGCAACGAUGCAUAGCCGACCUGAGAGGGUGGUCGGCCACACUGGAACUGAGACACGGUCCAGACUCCUACGGGAGGCAGCAGUAGGGAAUCUUCCGCAAUGGGCGAAAGCCUGACGGAGCAACGCCGCGUGAGUGAUGAAGGUCUUCGGAUCGUAAAACUCUGUUAUUAGGGAAGAACAUAUGUGUAAGUAACUGUGCACAUCUUGACGGUACCUAAUCAGAAAGCCACGGCUAACUACGUG
rnacentral:rRNA from 1 species